GGCUCAGGAUGAACGCUAGCGGCAGGCUUAACACAUGCAAGUCGAGGGGCAGCAUGACACGGAGAUUCGUCGAAGUGUUGAUGGCGACCGGCGCAAGGGUGCGUAACGCGUGAGCAACUUGCCCGUUUCAGGGGGAUAACCGUUGGAAACGACGACUAAUACCCCAUAGUAUCGUGAAGAGGCAUCUCUUUAUGAUUAAAGAAUUUCGGAACCGGAUAGGCUCGCGUGACAUUAGCUAGAUGGCGGGGUAACGGCCCACCUAGUCUACGAUGUCUAGGGGUUCUGAGAGGAAGGUCCCCCACACUGGAACUGAGACACGGUCCAGACUCCUACGGGAGGCAGCAGUGAGGAAUAUUGGUCAAUGGCCGGAAGGCUGAACCAGCCAAGUAGCGUGAAGGAUGAAGGUUCUAUGGAUUGUAAACUUCUUUUAUACGGGAAUAAAACCUCCCACGUGUGGGAGCUUGUAUGUACCGUAUGAAUAAGCAUCGGCUAACUCCGUG
rnacentral:rRNA from 1 species